UUGCCAGACUCCUACGGGAGGCAGCAGUGGGGAAUAUUGCACAAUGGGGGAAACCCUGAUGCAGCGACGCCGCGUGAGCGAUGAAGUAUUUCGGUAUGUAAAGCUCUAUCAGCAGGGAAGAAAAUGACGGUACCUGACUAAGAAGCCCCGGCUAACUACGUGCCAGCAGCCGCGGUAAUACGUAGGGGGCAAGCGUUAUCCGGAUUUACUGGGUGUAAAGGGAGCGUAGACGGCGGUGCAAGCCAGAUGUGAAAGCCCGGGGCUCAACCCCGGGACUGCAUUUGGAACUGUGCUGCUAGAGUGUCGGAGAGGCAGGCGGAAUUCCUAGUGUAGCGGUGAAAUGCGUAGAUAUUAGGAGGAACACCAGUGGCGAAGGCGGUUUACUGGACCACAACUGACGCUGAGACACGAAAGCGUGGGGAGCAAACAGGAUUAAUACCCGCGUA
rnacentral:rRNA from 1 species